CUUAAUUAAUACUGAAUGACUCCAUAAACAUAUGGAAUACUAUAUGCUAGAACUAGUAAUAAGAAGAAGACCUUCUCCAAAAUAUAAGUGUGAGCCGAAAUGAACAAUUCACCGGCAUUUAACGCAAUUGAACUAAUAGUAGUAACAAAACAAGAAAACUCUACUACAUGCUACGUCAACCUUACACUAGAAUAUUCAAGGAAAGAUUAAAAGAAAAGGAAGGAACUCGGCAAACCUAAACCCCGCCUGUUUACCAAAAACAUCGCCUCUUGAAAAAAUAUAAGAGGUCCAGCCUGCCCAGUGACAAAGUUAAACGGCCGCGGUACCCUAACCGUGCGAAGGUAGCGCAAUCACUUGUUCUUUAAAUGAGGACUAGUAUGAAUGGCAUCACGAGGGUUAUACUGUCUCCCUUUUCCAAUCAAUGAAACUGACCUCCCCGUGAAGAGGCGGGGAUAAAAUUAUAAGACGAGAAGACCCCAUGGAGCUUUAAACUCAGUAUCAACUAUCUAACUAUACACCACAAAAAUUUGAUAGCUAUGACCACUAGUUUUCGGUUGGGGUGACCGCGGAGUAAAACAAAACCUCCACGAUGAACGGACUAAUGCUCCUAAUCAUAGAGCUACAGCUCAAAGAAUCAAAAAAUUGACAUAAAUUGAUCCAAUUAAUUUUGAUCAACGAACCAAGUUACCCUGGGGAUAACAGCGCAAUCCACUUCAAGAGCUCCUAUCGACAAGUGGGUUUACGACCUCGAUGUUGGAUCAGGG
rnacentral:rRNA from 1 species